UACGUAGGGGGCGAGCGUUGUCCGGAUUUAUUGGGCGUCAAGAGCUCGUAGGUGGCUUGUCGCGUCUGCCGUGAAAGCCCAUGGCUUAACUGUGGGUCUGCGGUGGAUACGGGCAGGCUGGAGGCUGGUAGGGGCAAGCGGAAUUCCUGGUGUAGCGGUGAAAUGCGCAGAUAUCAGGAGGAACACCGGUGGCGAAGGCGGCUUGCUGGGCCAGUUCUGACGCUGAGGAGCGAAAGCGUGGGGAGCGAACAGG
rnacentral:rRNA from 1 species